UUAGAGUUUGAUCCUGGCUCAGAUUGAACGCUGGCGGCAGGCCUAACACAUGCAAGUCGAGCGGUAGCACAGAGAGCUUGCUCUCGGGUGACGAGCGGCGGACGGGUGAGUAAUGUCUGGGAAACUGCCUGAUGGAGGGGGAUAACUACUGGAAACGGUAGCUAAUACCGCAUAACGUCGCAAGACCAAAGUGGGGGACCUUCGGGCCUCAUGCCAUCAGAUGUGCCCAGAUGGGAUUAGCUAGUAGGUGGGGUAAUGGCUCACCUAGGCGACGAUCCCUAGCUGGUCUGAGAGGAUGACCAGCCACACUGGAACUGAGACACGGUCCAGACUCCUACGGGAGGCAGCAGUGGGGAAUAUUGCACAAUGGGCGCAAGCCUGAUGCAGCCAUGCCGCGUGUAUGAAGAAGGCCUUCGGGUUGUAAAGUACUUUCAGCGAGGAGGAAGGCGUUAAGGUUAAUAACCUUAGCGAUUGACGUUACUCGCAGAAGAAGCACCGGCUAACUCCGUGCCAGCAGCCGCGGUAAUACGGAGGGUGCAAGCGUUAAUCGGAAUUACUGGGCGUAAAGCGCACGCAGGCGGUCUGUCAAGUCGGAUGUGAAAUCCCCGGGCUCAACCUGGGAACUGCAUUCGAAACUGGCAGGCUAGAGUCUUGUAGAGGGGGGUAGAAUUCCAGGUGUAGCGGUGAAAUGCGUAGAGAUCUGGAGGAAUACCGGUGGCGAAGGCGGCCCCCUGGACAAAGACUGACGCUCAGGUGCGAAAGCGUGGGGAGCAAACAGGAUUAGAUACCCUGGUAGUCCACGCCGUAAACGAUGUCGACUUGGAGGUUGUGCCCUUGAGGCGUGGCUUCCGGAGCUAACGCGUUAAGUCGACCGCCUGGGGAGUACGGCCGCAAGGUUAAAACUCAAAUGAAUUGACGGGGGCCCGCACAAGCGGUGGAGCAUGUGGUUUAAUUCGAUGCAACGCGAAGAACCUUACCUACUCUUGACAUCCAGAGAACUUAGCAGAGAUGCUUUGGUGCCUUCGGGAACUCUGAGACAGGUGCUGCAUGGCUGUCGUCAGCUCGUGUUGUGAAAUGUUGGGUUAAGUCCCGCAACGAGCGCAACCCUUAUCCUUUGUUGCCAGCGGUCCGGCCGGGAACUCAAAGGAGACUGCCAGUGAUAAACUGGAGGAAGGUGGGGAUGACGUCAAGUCAUCAUGGCCCUUACGAGUAGGGCUACACACGUGCUACAAUGGCAUAUACAAAGAGAAGCGACCUCGCGAGAGCAAGCGGACCUCAUAAAGUAUGUCGUAGUCCGGAUUGGAGUCUGCAACUCGACUCCAUGAAGUCGGAAUCGCUAGUAAUCGUAGAUCAGAAUGCUACGGUGAAUACGUUCCCGGGCCUUGUACACACCGCCCGUCACACCAUGGGAGUGGGUUGCAAAAGAAGUAGGUAGCUUAACCUUCGGGAGGGCGCUUACCACUUUGUGAUUCAUGACUGGGGUGAAGUCGUAACAAGGUAGCCGUAG
rnacentral:rRNA from 1 species